rnacentral:rRNA from 1 species
AGUGAACGCUGGCGGUAGGCCUAACACAUGCAAGUCGAACGGCAGCACAGAGGAGCUUGCUCCUUGGGUGGCGAGUGGCGGACGGGUGAGGAAUACAUCGGAAUCUACUCUGUCGUGGGGGAUAACGUAGGGAAACUUACGCUAAUACCGCAUACGACCUACGGGUGAAAGCAGGGGACCUUCGGGCCUUGCGCGAUUGAAUGAGCCGAUGUCGGAUUAGCUAGUUGGCGGGGUAAAGGCCCACCAAGGCGACGAUCCGUAGCUGGUCUGAGAGGAUGAUCAGCCACACUGGAACUGAGACACGGUCCAGACCCCUACGGGAGGCAGCAGUGGGGAAUAUUGGACAAUGGGCGCAAGCCUGAUCCAGCCGUACCGCGUGGGUGAAGGAGGCCUUCGGGUUGUAAAGCCCUUUUGUUGGGAAAGAAAUCCAGCUGGCUAAUACCCGGUUGGGAUGACGGUACCCAAAGAAUAAGCACCGGCUAACUUCGUGCCAGCCGCCGCCGUAA